UGUUUCUGCCUUCAAAUCAUAUAAAUCUUUCGCCUUUUACUAAAGAUUUCCGUGGAGAGGAACAUUUCCGAGUUUCUACCCACUUUUUUUGUUUGUUUACUAUAUACAUAC